rnacentral:rRNA from 1 species
CCUACGGGAGGCAGCAGUGGGGAAUAUUGCACAAUGGGCGAAAGCCUGAUGCAGCGACGCCGCGUGAGGGAUGACGGCCUUCGGGUUGUAAACCUCUUUCAGCAGGGAAGAAGCGAAAGUGACGGUACCUGCAGAAGAAGCGCCGGCUAACUACGUGCCAGCAGCCGCGGUAAUACGUAGGGCGCAAGCGUUGUCCGGAAUUAUUGGGCGUAAAGAGCUCGUAGGCGGUUUGUCACGUCGGGUGUGAAAGCCCGGGGCUUAACCCCGGGUCUGCAUUCGAUACGGGCAGACUAGAGUGUGGUAGGGGAGAUCGGAAUUCCUGGUGUAGCGGUGAAAUGCGCAGAUAUCAGGAGGAACACCGGUGGCGAAGGCGGAUCUCUGGGCCAUUACUGACGCUGAGGAGCGAAAGCGUGGGGAGCGAACAGGAUUAGAUACCCUGGUAGUCCACGCCGUGAACGUUGGGAACUAGGUGUUGGCGACAUUCCACGUCGUCGGUGCCGCAGCUAACGCAUUAAGUUCCCCGCCUGGGGAGUACGGCCGCAAGGCUAAAACUCAAAUGAAUUGACGG